rnacentral:rRNA from 1 species
AAUCAACGCUGGCGGCGUGCCUCAGACAUGCAAGUCGAACGCGAAAGUUUCCUUCGGGAGACCGGUAGAGUGGCGCACGGGUGAGUAACACGUGGGUAAUUUACCUUUGGGUGGGGAAUAACAGUCGGAAACGACUGCUAAUACCGCAUAAUGCAGCGGCAUCACAUGAUGAUUUGUUGUUAAAGCGGGGGAUCAGCAAUGACCUCGCGCCUGAAGAGAAGCCCGCGGCGGAUUAGCUAGUUGGUGAGGUAAUGGCUCACCAAGGCGUCGAUCCGUAGCCGGCCUGGAGGGGGCGGUCGGCCACACUGACACUGAAUAACGGGUCAGACUCUACGGGAGGCAGCAGUCGGGAAUUUUGGGUAAUGGGCGCAAGCCUGACCCAGCAACGCCGCGUGAAGGAUGAAAUCUUUCGGGAUGUAAACUUCACAAGAACGGGAAGAAUGAGUAAGUGUAAAUACCACUUAUGAUGACGGUACUGUUUGUAAGCUCCGGCUAACUCCGUGCC